rnacentral:lncRNA from 10 species
CGGGGCGCCAGGUACAGCCGGCGGGACGUCCAGUGCCAGCGCAGGAGCCGGGCGAGGCCGUGGCCUCCAGGGUUCCUGGGCGGAGGACAAGGCGCGCAGCCGCGUUGGCGCGAGUUUUAAAUCGGUGCCUUCUCAGCUUUGCAAGUUCUUAUCAAUUGCUGCAUGCCAGAGGAAGUUUUUAAAAAAUGGCCCCCAGCUCUAUUGCGGUGUAAUUGAUGGAUAGAAAUUGUAUUUAUUUAAGGUGAACAGCUGGAUGAUGUGAUGGAGGCACGCAGGGUGGAGGGGUUACCACAGUCUAGGUACUCUACACAUCCAGAGCCUCCCACAGUUGACAAAUGGAUUUUCCUAAUCAGUUUCGUCGUGUUUUGUACUUAAGUUGAGGAUUCCACACCGUGUGGUACUUUCAGAAGAGAUGUAGUGGUGAAUCAAUCGCAACGGUUGUGAUGUUUUCCUAAUUAGGUAUUGAGAAUUACCAUUGGUAUUUGGAAUUAGAUUGCGGAGCAUUUAGGAACCGUUCUCGCUAUGUUGCCCAGGCUGGUCUUGAACUCCUCAGCUGAAAUGAGCCUCCCACCUCGGCCUCCCAAAGUGCUGGGAUUACAGGCGUCCCCUCUGCCCCAGUACUGUUUCCUCUCCCCAGCCCAGCCCCCACAGCUGCCUGCCCUGGCCUCACUCCCUGGCCUCCCCCAUCCCAGCCUCUGGGUCCCUGAGUCAGUCCCUGGGGCUGUCUGCCUUCUAGGGGAGCCUCUGGUGUGGACCAGAAAGUAACCUAAUCCCUUCCAGGCCCACCCUGGAAACAAAGGGAUUUGUCCACUAGCCUGGUGGUGAGAACCAUGUGGCCUCCUGUCUCUGGCAGAGAGGACUCCAGGAUCAAGGGCAGGUAAAAGGAGGAGCCUCCUGGGGAGCUUCAGAAGGAGGGUCCCAAGUCCCUCCUGCCCCACUUCUGUGCCUGGGUCACUCACACCCCUGCCUGACUCUAGCCCCCCUUCUCCAGGGGUCUCCACAACAUGUGAAUCAUGCCCAGCGUCUUCCAUUACACCCUUGAUAAAGUCCUCUCCUCACCAGGACCUCUGUCAUUUUACCUCAUGGUUUUGAAAUAAUUUUUGGUCUUCUUAGCAGUUUAAAAAUAUUGUUUUGUUUUUUUUCCUGAGUUUGGAGCAUUCCUGUUACUAAUUACAUUUUUUUUUUAGACAGGUGUACACUACUACACCCAGCUAAUUUGUUUUGUUUUGUUUUGUUUUGGUAGAGAUAGGAUCUUGCUAUGGUACCCAGGCUGGUCUUCAACUCCUGGGCUCAAGCAAUCCUCCUGCAUUGGCCUCCCAAAGUGCUGGAAUUACAGGCAUGAGGCAGCACGCCCAGCCCUAAUUACUUCUAUUACGCCAAAUUCCUUGUGUGGAAUUCCUGUGCUUUGCACACAAAUUGCCAGGUUGGCCCCAAAGGGGAAAAAAGUGGAUCCCAUUUUCCCAUCUUCUAUGCCUACGUGGCUGACAAAUCUCCCGAAUCCCACAGGAGCUGUCGCUGAUCUUUGUCCUCUAUUCGCUGAAAUAAAGUUCACCAUGG